CCUACGGGAGGCAGCAGUGAGGAAUAUUGGUCAAUGGCCGAGAGGCUGAACCAGCCAAGUCGCGUGAGGGAAGACGGCCCUACGGGUUGUAAACCUCUUUUGUCGGGGAGCAAAGCGAACCACGUGUGGUUCAUUGAGAGUACCCGAAGAAAAAGCAUCGGCUAACUCCGUGCCAGCAGCCGCGGUAAUACGGAGGAUGCGAGCGUUAUCCGGAUUUAUUGGGUUUAAAGGGUGCGCAGGCGGAGGUGCAAGUCAGCGGUCAAAUUGCGGGGCUCAACCCCGUACUGCCGUUGAAACUGCAUCCCUUGAGUGCGCGAGAAGUAUGCGGAAUGCGUGGUGUAGCGGUGAAAUGCAUAGAUAUCACGCAGAACUCCGAUUGCGAAGGCGGGUUCCUGGACAUUAACUGACGCUGAGGCACGAAGGCCAGGGGAGCGAAAGGGAUUAGAUACCCUUGUAGUC
rnacentral:rRNA from 1 species